rnacentral:misc_RNA from 1 species
GAUGAAUAACGCAGUGAAAUGCGAUAAGUAAUGUGAAUUGCAGAAUUCAGUGAAUCAUCGAAUCUUUGAACGCAUCUUGCGCUCCUUGGUAUUCUGAGGAGCAUGCCUGUUUGAGUGUCAUUAAAUUCUCAACUACACUGACUUUGAAUUGGUGUGGCUUGGAUUUGGGGGGAAAAUUGUUGUGGGCUUUUUGUAUAGUCUGCUCCCCUGAAAUUGAUUAGCGGUACCUUUGUGGAACUGUCUACAGGUGUGAUAAUUAUCUACAUCUUAGACAUCUGCUGGAAUGCUGCUUUCUAAACCUUACUUGUAUUGACAAUCUUGACCUCAAAUCAGGUAGGACUACCCGCUGAACUUAAGCAUAUCAAUAAGCGGAGGA